GUUAAGCGACUAAGCGUACACGGUGGAUGCCCUGGCAGUCAGAGGCGAUGAAGGGCGUGCUAAUCUGCGAUAAGCGCCGGUAAGGUGAUAUGAACCGUUAUAACCGGCGAUACCCGAAUGGGGAAACCCAGUGUGAUUCGUCACACUAUCAUUAACUGAAUCCAUAGGUUAAUGAGGCGAACCGGGGGAACUGAAACAUCUAAGUACCCCGAGGAAAAGAAAUCAACCGAGAUUCCCCCAGUAGCGGCGAGCGAACGGGGAGGAGCCCAGAGCCUGAAUCAGCAUGUGUGUUAGUGGAAGCGUCUGGAAAGGCGCGCGAUACAGGGUGACAGCCCCGUACACAAAAGCGCAUGUGCUGUGAGCUCGAUGAGUAGGGCGGGACACGUGGUAUCCUGUCUGAAUAUGGGGGGACCAUCCUCCAAGGCUAAAUACUCCUGACUGACCGAUAGUGAACCAGUACCGUGAGGGAAAGGCGAAAAGAACCCCGGCGAGGGGAGUGAAAAAGAACCUGAAACCGUGUACGUACAAGCAGUGGGAGCACCCUUUGGGGUGUGACUGCGUACCUUUUGUAUAAUGGGUC
rnacentral:rRNA from 1 species